GUGCCAGCAGCCGCGGUAAUACGUAGGUGGCGAGCGUUGUCCGGAAUUACUGGGUGUAAAGGGCGUGUAGGCGGGUUGACAAGUCAGAUGUGAAAUUCCCAGGCUUAACCUGGGCGCUGCAUCUGAAACUGUUAAUCUUGAGUGCUGGAGAGGAAAGCGGAAUUCCUAGUGUAGCGGUGAAAUGCGUAGAUAUUAGGAGGAACACCAGUGGCGAAGGCGGCUUUCUGGACAGUAACUGACGCUGAGGCGCGAAAGCGUGGGGAGCAAACAGGAUUAGAUACCCUGGUAGUCCACGCUGUAAACGAUGGAUACUAGGUGUAGGAGGUAUCGACCCCUUCUGUGCCGGAGUUAACACAAUAAGUAUCCCACCUGGGGAGUACGGCCGCAAGGUUGAA
rnacentral:rRNA from 1 species